AACGAACGCUGGCGGCAUGCCUAACACAUGCAAGUCGAACGAGACCUUCGGGUCUAGUGGCGCACGGGUGCGUAACGCGUGGGAACCUGCCCUUAGGUUCGGAAUAACUCCCCGACAGGGGUGCUAAUACCGGAUAAUGUCUUCGGACCAAAGAUUUAUCGCCUUUGGAUGGGCCCGCGUUGGAUUAGCUAGUUGGUAGGGUAAAAGCCUACCACGGCGACGAUCCAUAGCUGGUCUGAGAGGAUGAGCAGCCACACUGGGACUGAGACACGGCCCAGACUCCUACGGGAGGCAGCAGUGGGGAAUAUUGGACAAUGGGCGAAAGACUGAUCCAGCAAGGCCGGGUGAGUGAUGAAGGCCUUAGGGUUGUAAAGCUCGUUUACCCGGGAUGAUAAUGACAGUACCGGGAGAAUAAGCGCCGGCUAACUCCGUG
rnacentral:rRNA from 1 species